GUUCACCAGAGUUGGCAGUGUUUCUCCCCCAACUUUUGUUACAGAAUUGCAAAAAUGUUGGCCGUGGUGAACACUUCCGCCUCUGGUUUGAAG
ensembl:miRNA mir-1824 ncRNA